rnacentral:rRNA from 1 species
GAUGAACGCUAGCGGCAGGCCUAAUACAUGCAAGUCGAACGGUAAGUAUUUUAGCAAUAGAAUACGAGAGUGACGUACGGGUGCGUAACACGUAUGCAACCUACCCUUUACGGGAGGAUAGCUCGGGGAAACUCGAAUUAACCCUCCAUGAGAUCACAGUGUGGCAUCACACAGUGAUUAAAACUCCGGUGGUAAAGGAUGGGCAUGCGUCUGAUUAGUUAGUUGGCGGGGUAACGGCCCACCAAGACGAUGAUCAGUAGGGGAACUGAGAGGUUGAUCCCCCACACUGGCACUGAGAUACGGGCCAGACUCCUACGGGAGGCAGCAGUAGGGAAUAUUGGUCAAUGGAUGGAAGUCUGAACCAGCCAUGCCGCGUGCAGGAAGAAGGCCUUCUGGGUUGUAAACUGCUUUUGCCAGGGGAUAAAAAGACCAUGCGUGGUUAAUUGAAGGUACCUGGUGAAUAAGCCACGGCUAACUACGUGCCAGCAGCCGCGGUAAUACGGU